GAGAUUUUGAUCUAUGUUAUACAGUAACCACAACAAAUAGGUAAAGCACAGAAUUGAUUAAAAAUAUGAAGUCAGCCAGUUGUGGUGGCUCACACCUGUAAUACCAGCACUUUGGGAGGCUGAGGCAGGCAGAUCACCUGAGGUCAGGAGUUCAAAAGCAGCCUGGCCAACAUGGUGAAACCCCAUCUCUACUAAAAAUACAAAAAUUUUCCCAGCGCAGUGAUGUGUGCAUAUAAUCCCAGCUACUCAGGAGGCUGACACAGAAGAAUCACUUGAACCCGGGAGGCGGAGGUUGUAAUGA
rnacentral:lncRNA from 1 species